rnacentral:rRNA from 1 species
UAGCAUUAUACCGCGAAACUGCGAAUGGCUCAUUAUAUAAGUUAUCGUUUAUUUGAUAAUACUUUACUACUUGGAUAACCGUGGUAAUUCUAGAGCUAAUACAUGCUAAAAAUCCCGACUUCGGAAGGGUUGUAUUUAUUAGAUUAAAAACCAAUGCCCCUCGGGGCUCUCUGGUGAAUCAUGAUAACUAGUCGAAUCGACAGGCCUUGUGCCGGCGAUGGCUCAUUCAAAUUUCUUCCCUAUCAACUUUCGAUGUUUGGGUAUUGGCCAAACAUGGUGGCAACGGGUAACGGAGGGUUAGGGCUCGACCCCGGAGAAGGAGCCUGAGAAACGGCUACUACAUCCAAGGAAGGCAGCAGGCGCGCAAAUUACCCAAUCCCGACACGGGGAGGUAGUGACAAUAAAUACUGAUACAGGGCUCUUUUGGGUCUUGUAAUCGGAAUGAGUACAAUUUAAAUCCCUUAACGAGGAACAAUUGGAGGGCAAGUCUGGUGCCAGCAGCCGCGGUAAUUCCAGCUCCAAUAGCGUAUAUUAAAGUUGUUGUGGUUAAAAAGCUCAU